GACGAACGCUGGCGGCGUGCCUAAUACAUGCAAGUAGAACGCUGAAGAGAGGAGCUUGCUCUUCUUGGAUGAGUUGCGAACGGGUGAGUAACGCGUAGGUAACCUGCCUGGUAGCGGGGGAUAACUAUUGGAAACGAUAGCUAAUACCGCAUAAAAUUGAUUAUUGCAUGAUAAUUAAUUGAAAGAUGCAAUUGCAUCACUACCAGAUGGACCUGCGUUGUAUUAGCUAGUUGGUGAGGUAACGGCUCACCAAGGCGACGAUACAUAGCCGACCUGAGAGGGUGAUCGGCCACACUGGGACUGAGACACGGCCCAGACUCCUACGGGAGGCAGCAGUAGGGAAUCUUCGGCAAUGGGGGGAACCCUGACCGAGCAACGCCGCGUGAGUGAAGAAGGUUUUCGGAUCGUAAAGCUCUGUUGUAAGAGAAGAACGGGUGUGAGAGUGGAAAGUUCACACUGGAC
rnacentral:rRNA from 1 species